rnacentral:rRNA from 1 species
UUCCAGACUCCUACGGGAGGCAGCAGUGAGGAAUAUUGGUCAAUGGGCGGAAGCCUGAACCAGCCAAGUCGCGUGAGGGAAUAAGGCCCUACGGGUCGUAAACCUCUUUUGCCGGGGAGCAAGGGCGGGGACGUGUCCCGGCCCGGAGAGUACCCGGAGAAAAAGCAUCGGCUAACUCCGUGCCAGCAGCCGCGGUAAUACGGAGGAUGCGAGCGUUAUCCGGAUUUAUUGGGUUUAAAGGGUGCGCAGGCGGCCUGUUAAGUCAGCGGUAAAAGCCCAGGGCUCAACCCCGGCGAGCCGUUGAAACUGGCGGGCUGGAGUUGGAGAGAAGUAUGCGGAAUGCGCGGUGUAGCGGUGAAAUGCAUAGAUAUCGCGCAGAACUCCGAUUGCGAAGGCAGCAUGCCGGCUCCACACUGACGCUGAGGCACGAAAGCGUGGGUAUCGAACAGGAUUAGAUACCCUAGUAA